AUAAACAUUAUCUCUCUCUUUCUCUCUCUCUCUCUCUCUCUCUCUCUCUCGCUCUCGCUCUCUCUGUGUGUGUUCUUUUUUCUUGGAUUUGAAAAUCAUUUGGCUUCCAAAUUUCCAUCAAUGUCCAUUCCUGAACUGCCAUUUUCACCUUCUAAUCCAAAGGUUCAGAGAGUGUCAAAAUCCACUUCAGACAGAUUGCUUCAGAAAUUCUUCGAUGCUACUGAAUUUGGAUUUGAUUACGAGAGAAGUGGGCUCUGGUCUCCCCCUCUUCAACGCACUGUUUAUUUAACUUCUUCGGGUCAAGUUCUCAAUCAAACGGAUUUACAUACAAAACUUCAAACCGUCUUGAAUUCUCGAAGUAGAACACAUAAAAGUUGUUUCAAAUUCAGAGUGUUUUGGUGCUAUGUGAAGCAAAUCUGAAAGCUGGAAUCUUUAUUGCUUCUAUGCCUUCAAUUUUUCACUUAAUGGGAUGGAUGAUAAUGGAGUUUCAUAGUCCCAGCCAAAACAAAAGCAGAAGGGGUCCCCCAAAGAAGGAAAAAAUAACCCAUCCUAUACAGUUCUUAUUUUGUUUAUUUUGUACAAGUUCGAUAUUGUUGAUAUAACAUAUUAAUGUUGCUAAUCCAAAGUUCAAUCAUAUAACAUCAAUCAAAUUUGAACUUCAACUCUUUCCUUUUCC